UGGGGAAUUUUGGACAAUGGGCGCAAGCCUGAUCCAGCAAUGCCGCGUGCAGGAUGAAGGCCUUCGGGUUGUAAACUGCUUUUGUACGGAGCGAAAAGGUCUGCCCUAAUACGGUGGGCUCAUGACGGUACCGUAAGAAUAAGCACCGGCUAACUACGUGCCAGCAGCCGCGGUAAUACGUAGGGUGCGAGCGUUAAUCGGAAUUACUGGGCGUAAAGCGUGCGCAGGCGGUUUUGUAAGUCUGAUGUGAAAUCCCCGGGCUCAACCUGGGAAUUGCAUUGGAGACUGCAAGGCUAGGAUCUGGCAGGGGGAGGUAGAAUUCCACGGGUAGCAGUGAAAUGCGUAGAUAUGCGGAGGAACACCGAUGGCGAAGGCAAUCCCCUGGACCUGUACUGACGCUCAUGCAGGAAAGCGUGGGGAGCAAACA
rnacentral:rRNA from 1 species